GUCUACGGCCAUGCUACCCUGAACAAGCCCGAUCCUGUCUGAUCUCAGAAGCUAAGCAGGGUUGGGUCUGGUUAGUACUUGGAUGCGAGACCACCUAGGAAGACCAGGUGCUGUAGGCA
rnacentral:rRNA from 1 species